rnacentral:rRNA from 1 species
UACGAAGGGGGCUAGCGUUGCUCGGAAUCACUGGGCGUAAAGGGUGCGUAGGCGGGUCUUUAAGUCAGGGGUGAAAUCCUGGAGCUCAACUCCAGAACUGCCUUUGGUACUGAAGAUCUUGAGUUCGGGAGAGGUGAGUGGAACUGCGAGUGUAGGGGUGAAAUUCGUAGAUAUUCGCAAGAACACCAGUGGCGAAGGCGGCUCACUGGCCCGAUACUGACGCUGAGGCACGAAAGCGUGGGGAGCAAACAGG